AUUGAACGCUGGCGGCAGGCCUAACACAUGCAAGUCGAGCGGAGCGGCGGACGGGUGAGUAAUGCCUAGGAAUCUGCCUGGUAGUGGGGGAUAACGUCCGGUAACGGGCGCUAAUACCGCAUACUAUCGGUUGAGCCUAGGUCGGAUUAGCUAGUUGGUGGGGUAAAGGCUUACCAAGGCGACGAUCCGUAACUGGUCUGAGAGGAUGAUCAGUCACACUUGAACUAAAACACGGUCCAGACUCCUACGUGACGCAGCAGUGGGGAAUAUUGGACAAUGGGCGAAAGCCUGAUCCAGCCAUGCCGCGUAUGUGAAGAAGGUCUUCGGAUUGUAAAACACGUUAAGAUGGGAGGCGUUACCAACAGAAUAAGCACCGGCUAACUUCGUGCCAGCAGCCGCGGUAAUAG
rnacentral:rRNA from 1 species